CGGAGGUGCAAGCGUUGUCCGGAUUAUUGGGUUAAAGGUGCGUAGGCGGCUUAUUAAGUCAGGGUGAAGACUAUUGCUUAACAAUGGCAGUGCCUUUGAUACUGAUAGGCUUGAGUACAGCUGAGGCAGAUGGAACGGUGGUGUAGCGGUGAAAUGCAUAGAUACCAUCCAGAACACCGAUUGCGAAGGCAGUCUGCUAAACUGUAACUGACGCUGAGGCACGAAAGCGUGGGAUCGAACAGGAUU
rnacentral:rRNA from 1 species